GUACACUCCUACGGGAGGCAGCAGUGGGGAAUUUUGGACAAUGGGCGAAAGCCUGAUCCAGCAAUGCCGCGUGAGUGAAGAAGGCCUUCGGGUUGUAAAGCUCUUUUGUCAGGGAAGAAACGGUGAGAGCUAAUAUCUCUUGCUAAUGACGGUACCUGAAGAAUAAGCACCGGCUAACUACGUGCCAGCAGCCGCGGUAAUACGUAGGGUGCAAGCGUUAAUCGGAAUUACUGGGCGUAAAGCGUGCGCAGGCGGUUUUGUAAGUCUGAUGUGGAAUCCCCGGGCUCAACCUGGGAAUUGCAUUGGAGACUGCAAGGCUAGAAUCUGGCAGAGGGGGGUAGAAUUCCACGUGUAGCAGUGAAAUGCGUAGAUAUGUGGAGGAACACCGAUGGCGAAGGCAGCCCCCUGGGUCAAGAUUGACGCUCAUGCACGAAAGCGUGGGGAGCAAACAGGAUUAGAUACCCUGGUAGUCCC
rnacentral:rRNA from 1 species